rnacentral:tRNA from 1 species
CGGAGCGUGGCGCAGUCCGGCAGCGCACCACAAUGGGGUUGUGGGGGUCGCAGGUUCAAAUCCUGUCGCUCCGACUA